rnacentral:misc_RNA from 1 species
AACUUUCGGCAAUGGAUCACUUGGCUCUCGCAUCGAUGAAGAACGCAGCGAAUUGCGAUAAGUAAUGUGAAUUGCAGAUUUCAGUGAAUCAUCGAAUCUUUGAACGCAUCUUGCGCUCCAUGGUAUUCCGUGGAGCAUGCCUGUUUGAGUGUCAUUCAAGUUCUCAACCACAACUGGAUUCUUUUUUCUGUUGUGGCUUGGAUUGGUGGGGGAUUUGCUGGCUUUCACAAGUCUGCUCCCCUGAAAUGCAUUAGUGGUAUGAGCUACUACGUGGUGUGAUAAAUUUAUCUAUGCCCUGCUAGUGUGCAGCUGUAUACUGCUUCUAACAAAAACCUUAUUUGUUUGAUGAAUUUGACCUCAAAUCAGGUAGGACUACCCGCUGAACUUAAGCAUAUCAAUAAGCGGAGGCU